rnacentral:rRNA from 1 species
UUGGAGGGCAAGUCUGGUGCCAGCAGCCGCGGUAAUUCCAGCUCCAAUAGCGUAUAUUAAAGUUGUUGCAGUUAAAAAGCUCGUAGUUGAAUUUCGGGAUUAGUACGUCGGUCGUGCCUUAGGUACGUACUGGUGUUACUGGUUCCUACCUUCUGACGAACCAUCAUGUCAUUAAUUUGGUGUGGUGGGGAAUCAGGACUGUUACUUUGAAAAAAUUAGAGUGUUUAAAGCAGGCUCGCGCUUGAAUACAUUAGCAUGGAAUAAUGAAAUAGGACGUUGAUCCUAUUUUGUUGGUUUCUAGGAUUGACGUAAUGAUUAAUAGGGAUAGUUGGGGGCAUUAGUAUUCAAUUGUCAGAGGUGAAAUUCUUGGAUUUAUUGAAGACUAACUACUGCGAAAGCAUUUGCCAAGGAUGUUUUCAUUAAUCAAGAACGAAAGUUAGGGGAUCGAAGACGAUCAGAUACCGUCGUAGUCUUAACCAUAAACUAUGUCGACUAGGGAUCGGAUGAUGUUAUUUUUAAUGACUCAUUCGGCGCCUUACGGGAAAC